UGGAAUAUUUGAACAUCACCGCUAGGUAAUAGGAAAAACAUGUCAGGCGACUCUUCACGAAUUUACAUGAAACAUCACCUGAGGAUUCCUAUAAUUGAUUUUUAUAACUUUAGACUGGAGCCUGAGGUCCGGCCAACAGCUGGAGAAAGGACCAACAUAAUUUUAGUUGUUACUGAUGAUAUUUAUCUCAUCUGUAUCUACAGGGACCAUAAUGGGAUGGGAGAUCGGGCAUGCCUUGUUACAUUCCCUCCCUCCCUAAUCUGCCGUUAGACUUUCUUUCUUAAGGGUUAAACAUAAACCAGUCCUUUCUAAAGACGUGGUGGAUUCCCCUCCCUUUGUGCAGUUUUGACAUAACAACUGAGAAGCAUUGCUUCCUGAUGAGAGACCACUGACCAUGGACUGGCUCUGGCCAGUUUACAGAGGCUGCCUCUGUGUCCUCUGUUUCAUCUUUUGACAUAUACAGCCUAAUUUUCAUGCAUCUAAAUGUUAAGUCUCCACCCCAAAGUGAACAUGGAAUGUAUGUAACAUGUAUGGUUGCAGGUGCCCCAUCAUAAAUAUUCACAGCUCCUCCUGGAACCUGUUAAAUAUGUAUACUUAGCCAACUCAUUCAGCAUAAAUUCUUAUCUCAUCCUUCCUUCUUCAAAGUGCUUGCUUCCAGUUGCUGCCAGAGGCUACACUUCCCAGCCUGCAACCCUUUCCACUCCAAAUUUACAAACUUAGGAUUCUUCAGUUGACAAUGUGGAGGGCUGACAGUACUUAGGUUUCUCUCUAAAGGCCCCUUUCCACUUCUUUAAAAAUUGUUUCAAUUGCUUCAGGAAGUAUUCUCUGCACCUUCUCACACUAAUUGAAAUUUAGAUGUCUGGUGAGGACACUGCUUCCUCUCAGCCUUUAUCACUAUUUGGGCAUUAAAUUCACUGAUAAUAGAGAAGGAGACAGUGUUUCAGGAGAUAAAAUCUUCAGUGAAUGAGCAGGCAUGACCAAGAGGACAGUUGAUUACAGUAUUAAGCAAGGGUAGCAGGUGGUAUUGCCUGAUUGCACCAGCUUUAAAAGAAAACAAAGGCCUAGGUGCAGUGGCUUAUGCCAGCACUUUGGGAGGCUGAGGCAGGAGGAUCGUUUGAGCCCAGGACUUCAAGACCAGCCUGGGUAACACAGUGAGACCUCAUCUCUACAAAAAAUAAAAAAAUUAGCUAGGCGUGGUGGUGCAUGCCUAUAGUCCCAGCUACUUGGGAGGCUGAGGUGGGAGGAUCACUUCAGCCCAGGAAGUUGAGGCUGCAGUAGUGAGCUGUGAUCACACCACAGCACUCCAGCCUGGGUGACAGAAUGAGACCCUAUCUCAAGAGAGAGAAAGAGAGACAGAGACGAGAGAGAGAGAGAGAGAGAGAGAGAGAGAGAGAGAGAGAGAGAAUGGAAGAGCAAUAACAUGGAAGCUGCAGCGAAGAACCCUGAAAAUAUCAAUCCCACCUCCAGAUCUGAGGUGUGUGAUAUGAGGAUAAAAAUGCAACUUCCACUUCUGCUCUUGUCUUAAAACCCAGUCAUUCUUCCUAUCCAUGAGCAUGGAAUGUUCUUCCAUUUGUUUGUGUCCUCUUUUAUUUCGUUGAGCAGUGGUUUGUAGGUCUCCUUGAAGAGGUCCUUCACAUCCCUUGUAAGUUGGAUUCCUAGGUAUUUUAUUCUCUUUGAAGCAAUUGUGAAUGGGAGUUCACUCAUGAUUUGGCUCUCUGUCUGUUAUUGGUGUAUAAGAAUGUUUGUGAUUUUUGCACAUUGAUUUUGUAUCCUGAGACUUUGCUGAAGUUGCUUAUCAGCUUAAGGAGAUUUUGGGCUGAGACAAUGGUGUUUUCUAGAUAUACAAUCAUGUCAUCUGCAAACAGGGAUAAUUUUUUAUGGCUGUAUAGUAUUCCAUGGUGUAUAUGUGCCACAUUUUCUUAAUCCAGUCUAUCAUUGUUGGAUAUUUGGGUUGGUUCCAAGUCUUUGCUAUUGUGAGUAGUGCCGCAAUAAACAUACGUGUGCAUGUGUCUUUAUAGCAGCAUGAUUUAUAUUCCUUUGGGUAUAUACCUAGUAAUGGGAUGGCUGAGUCAAAUGGUUUUUCUUUUGUUGCUUGUUGGUUUUGGUGUCCUAUCCAAUAAACUAUUGUCUAAUUCAAGAUCACAAAGAUUUAUCCUGUUGUUUUCUUAUAAUUUUGUAGUUUUAGCUCUUACAUUUUAUCUUUGAUCCGUUUUGAGGUAAUGUUUAAGUGUAGGAUUCAGCAUGGUAUCCAGAGCAUAACCUGAAUAAAUCAAAGAAUGAGGUAGAUCUAUAUAUGUUGACAUGAAAUGAUAUCCAAAAUAUAUUGUUACUUUUUUUUUUUUUGAGACAGAGUUUCACUCUGUUGCCCAGGGUGGAGUGCAGUGGUGCGAUCUCAGCUCACUGCAACCUCCGCCUCCCAGAUUCAAGCGAUUCUCCUGCCUCAGCCUCCAGAGUAGCUGGGACUACAGGCAUGCGCCACCAUGCCUGGCUAAUUCAAAAUAUAUUGUUACUUUUUAAAAAUCAAGGUACAGACCAAUUUACACUGCUCUUGUUUUUGUGUGAAAUGCACACACACACACAUACACACACACAUUUGUACAUGUAUGCACUACUUCUGGAGGGGAGUAUACAAACCCACAGCAAUGACUGUCUGUCAGACUAUGGGAUUGGAAGUCCAAGAGGGAGGAAAAUUUACAUUUUAUUGUAUGCUCUUGUUUAUCUAUUUUUAAAUUAGCCGGUAAAAGUAACUCAAAAUACACAAAAAGUACCCUAUAAAUAUGUAAAAUUAUUGUGUCAUUAUGCAUUUUAAAAAUUAAUGAAUAAAAAAUAAAAUUAUACAAUCUUCAAAAAAUGAAAAAAAGAAAAAAUACGUACACAAAAUUUAUGAAGAAAAAUUGUACAAUAAUAGCUAAUAAAAAUUUUGAAGAAGUACAAUGAAAGAAGAUGUCAUACAGAUAUCAAACAUAUCACAAAGUUGAAGUCAUUAAAACAGUGUGGUAACAGAUUAAUUAAGGAGAAUUAAAAAUCCCAGAUUUUAGCAAUUUAGUAUAUGAUAAAGAAGA
rnacentral:lncRNA from 1 species